UGAGGAAUAUUGGUCAAUGGGGGCAACCCUGAACCAGCCAAGUCGCGUGAAGGAUGAAGGUCUUAUGGAUUGUAAACUUCUUUUAUACAGGAAUAAAUUGGGGGACGUGUCCCCUUUUGCAUGUACUGUAUGAAUAAGGAUCGGCUAACUCCGUGCCAGCAGCCGCGGUAAUACGGAGGAUCCGAGCGUUAUCCGGAUUUAUUGGGUUUAAAGGGUGCGUAGGCGGAAAGAUAAGUCAGCCUGUGAAAGUUUGCGGCCCAACCGUAAAAUUGCAGUUGAUACUGUUUUUCUUGAGUGUACAUAAGGUAGGCGGAAUUCGUGGUGUAGCGGUGAAAUGCUUAGAUAUCACGAAGAACUCCGAUUGCGAAGGCAGCUUACCGGGGUACAACUGACGCUGAUGCACGAAAGUGUGGGUAUCAAACA
rnacentral:rRNA from 1 species